rnacentral:rRNA from 1 species
UACGUAGGGUGCGAGCGUUGUCCGGAAUUACUGGGCGUAAAGAGCUCGUAGGUGGUUUGUCGCGUUGUUCGUGAAAACUCACAGCUCAACUGUGGGCGUGCGGGCGAUACGGGCAGACUGGAGUACUGCAGGGGAGACUGGAAUUCCUGGUGUAGCGGUGGAAUGCGCAGAUAUCAGGAGGAACACCGGUGGCGAAGGCGGCAUCCUGGACCGAUACUGACGCUGAGGAGCGAAAGCCAGGGGAGCAAACGGG